rnacentral:tRNA from 1 species
GCGGGGGUAACUCAGUUGGUAGAGUGCCUGCCUUCCAAGCAGGUCGUCGCGGGUUCGAGUCCCGUCCCCCGCU